GUGUCAGCAGCCGCGGUAAGACGUAGGGUGCAAGCGUUGUCCGGAUUUACUGGGCGUAAAGAGCGCGUAGGCGGUCUGUUAAGUGUAGAGUGAAAUCUCCAGGGCUCAACCCGGAAACUGCUCUGCAUACUGGCAGACUGGAGGGACUGAGAGGUGAAUGGAAUUCCUGGUGUAGCGGUGAAAUGCGUAGAUAUCAGGAGGAACACCCAUGGCGAAGGCAGUUCACUGGCAGUCUCCUGACGCUGAGGCGCGAAAGCGUGGGUAGCAAACAGGAUUAGAUACCCUGGUAGUCC
rnacentral:rRNA from 1 species